rnacentral:rRNA from 1 species
UACGUAGGGGGCUAGCGUUGUCCGGAAUCAUUGGGCGUAAAGCGCGUGUAGGCGGCCCGGUAAGUCCGCUGUGAAAGUCCAGGGCUCAACCCUGGGAUGCCGGUGGAUACUGUCGGGCUCGAGUCCGGAAGAGGAGUGUGGAAUUCCCGGUGUAGUGGUGAAAUGCGCAGAUAUCAGGAGGAACACCAAUGGCGAAGGCAGCUCACUGGGACGUUACUGACGCUGAGACGCGAAAGCGUGGGGAGCAAACAGG